UACGUAGGGCGCAAGCGUUGUCCGGAAUCAUUGGGCGUAAAGCGCGUGUAGGCGGUUCGAUAAGUCUGCUGUGAAAGUCCAGGGCUCAACCCUGGAAAGCCGGUGGAUACUGUCGGACUAGAGUGCGGAAGAGGCGAGUGGAAUUCCCGGUGUAGCGGUGAAAUGCGCAGAUAUCGGGAGGAACACCAAUUGCGAAGGCAGCUCGCUGGGACGUUACUGACGCUGAGACGCGAAAGCGUGGGGAGCAAACAGG
rnacentral:rRNA from 1 species